AAUCCAUAGGUUAAUGAGGCGAACCGGGGGAACUGAAACAUCUAAGUACCCCGAGGAAAAGAAAUCAACCGAGAUUCCCCCAGUAGCGGCGAGCGAACGGGGAGGAGCCCAGAGCCUGAAUCAGCAUGUGUGUUAGUGGAAGCGUCUGGAAAGGCGCGCGAUACAGGGUGACAGCCCCGUACACAAAAGCGCAUGUGCUGUGAGCUCGAUGAGUAGGGCGGGACACGUGGUAUCCUGUCUGAAUAUGGGGGGACCAUCCUCCAAGGCUAAAUACUCCUGACUGACCGAUAGUGAACCAGUACCGUGAGGGAAAGGCGAAAAGAACCCCGGCGAGGGGAGUGAAAAAGAACCUGAAACCGUGUACGUACAAGCAGUGGGAGCCCCACCACUAAGCCAGUGGUGAACUCCACAUACGCAUCCUUUGCUGAGGAUACGGUUAACGGAGCGAAAGCGACGUUCAACCGCAAAAGAAGCAGAGGGGGCUUAGUGGUGGGGUGACUGCGUACCUUUUGUAUAAUGGGUCAGCGACUUAUAUUCUGUAGCAAGGUUAACCGUAUAGGGGAGCCGCAGGGAAACCGAGUCUUAACCGGGCGUUAAGUUGCAGGGUAUAGACCCGAAACCCGGUGAUCUAGCCAUGGGCAGGUUGAAGGUUGGGUAACACUAACUGGAGGACCGAACCGACUAAUGUUGAAAAAUUAGCGGAUGACCUGUGGCUGGGGGUGAAAGGCCAAUCAAACCGGGAGAUAGCUGGUUCUCCCCGAAAGCUAUUUAGGUAGCGCCUCGUGAAUUCAUCUCCGGGGGUAGAGCACUGUUUCGGCUAGGGGGCCAUCCCGGCUUACCAACCCGAUGCAAACUGCGAAUACCGGAGAAUGUUAUCACGGGAGACACACGGCGGGUGCUAACGUCCGUCGUGAAGAGGGAAACAACCCAGACCGCCAGCUAAGGUCCCAAAGUCAUGGUUAAGUGGGAAACGAUGUGGGAAGGCCCAGACAGCCAGGAUGUUGGCUUAGAAGCAGCCAUCAUUUAAAGAAAGCGUAAUAGCUCACUGGUCGAGUCGGCCUGCGCGGAAGAUGUAACGGGGCUAAACCAUGCACCGAAGCUGCGGCAGCGACACUGUGUGUUGUUGGGUAGGGGAGCGUUCUGUAAGCCUGCGAAGGUGGCCUGUGAGGGUUGCUGGAGGUAUCAGAAGUGCGAAUGCUGACAUAAGUAACGAUAAAGCGGGUGAAAAGCCCGCUCGCCGGAAGACCAAGGGUUCCUGUCCAACGUUAAUCGGGGCAGGGUGAGUCGACCCCUAAGGCGAGGCCGAAAGGCGUAGUCGAUGGGAAACGGGUUAAUAUUCCCGUACUUGGUGUUACUGCGAAGGGGGGACGGAGAAGGCUAUGUUGGCCGGGCGAC
rnacentral:rRNA from 1 species